GACGAACGCUGGCGGCGUGCUUAACACAUGCAAGUCGAACGGAAAGGCCCUGCUUUUGUGGGGUGCUCGAGUGGCGAACGGGUGAGUAACACGUGAGUAACCUGCCCUUGACUUUGGGAUAACUUCAGGAAACUGGGGCUAAUACCGGAUAGGAGCUCCUGCUGCAUGGUGGGGGUUGGAAAGUUUCGGCGGUUGGGGAUGGACUCGCGGCUUAUCAGCUUGUUGGUGGGGUAGUGGCUUACCAAGGCUUUGACGGGUAGCCGGCCUGAGAGGGUGACCGGCCACCUUGGGCCUGAGGUACGGCCCAGACUCCUACGGGGGGCAGCAGUGGGGAAUAUUGCGCAAUCGGCGGAAGCCUGAUGCAGCAACGCCGCGUGCGGGAUGACGGCCUUCGGGUUGUAAACCGCUUUCGCCUGUGACGAAGCGUGAGUGACGGUAAUGGGUAAAGAAGCACCGGCUAACUACGUG
rnacentral:rRNA from 1 species